UUUUCCGUCUGGGAUACCUAUCCCAGACGGAAAAUUUCCGUCUGUAAUGUAUUAUAGACGGUAUUUUUUUCCGUCUACUAAAAUCCGUCUAGAAUUCAUUCUAGACGGAAUUUCCGUCUAGAAUAACGUAUUCUAGACGGAAACAAACUAGACUCGUAUUCCAGACGGAAUUCCGUCUGGAAUAGGUUUUCUGGACGGAAUUUUAAUUAUUCCAGACGGAAUUUUCCGUCUGGAUUACGUCGUUUUGUACCAGUGUGUGGAUCUUUAUUUGCAGGAAGUUGUUGGAGUUGAAGGUUCUGUUCUGAGGCAGGGGAGAAGUGUUAUAGUAAUUUCGGUCGAGUUCAGGAUAAAAGAAACUCAGAAGCUCUUCUACACAUCUCGGGCCACUUUUUAUGUGAUGCAUUUCGCAAGUUUAUGAGUUCUCCGACAACUUCAAGUAAGAAGUUAUGGCCAUAUAUAAUGUGUUAGAUAAUAAUAUGUUGUUGUCAUAUCGAUGAAUUUGCAUAAGAUGAAGGAUUUUGUGUGCUCUGCGUAUCGAUGAAUUUGCACAAGACUAAUUACUGCCCAAAAACUGAAUGAACAUCAAUGCACAAUAAUUUUUUCUUCGUCUUUACGAUUACUUUCACAUUGAUGAUGCUAACAUAAAAUCUUUAUUGUAUUUCUCUCCCUCUGCUGUUGUAUAGGUGGAAGCAGAUGAAGCAUAUUUGAGUAAUGAAAGCACAGUAACCAAUAUAAACACCUUUUUUGAAGAUGCCUGUAAAUCGUCAUGUGAAGGAAUAAUGGCAACAACUCUAGAUAUUGAUGCUGGAUAUUGUGCAUCAAAGCGCACUGAUGCCUGGUUAAAGGUCAAACGUGACUAUAUUGGGUGACAGUCUUGAUUUGGUACCCAUUGGCGCUUGGUAUGGGAAUGGAAGAAAAGCGGGAUGGUACAGAUAAUAGGCUUCCCUUCCUUCUUAAUGUUUUCCUUUGAUCUAAUGGUUUCUCCUAUCAAAAUGAUUUUGUUUCUCUGACUGCCACGGUACAGGUACAGCCCUUUCCUUAUGACGUGCUACAACCCUGAUGCUGAAAAGUUUCAAAGUGUGUGUAGAGUCAUGUCUGGCUUCUCAGAUGAAUUCUAUAAGUCGGUUCAAGUUUCUAGCUUCUAGCUUAAAUUUCAGUUCCUGCUUACGCUCAGAAUGAUGAGGAAAAAGGUGAAGAAUGAGAAGAAGAAGGCCUGAGUAAAUGUAUAGGGAAGGAGUUGAAGAAGCUUCUGCAGUGUCACAACCAUUGUAAAUAAUUUAUGUAAAAGUUUGUAAACAAUUUAUGUAUCUCUCUACUAUUUUGGUGAAUGUAUUAU